AUUGAACGCUGGCGGCAGGCCUAACACAUGCAAGUCGAACGGUAACAGGAAACAGCUUGCUGUUUCGCUGACGAGUGGCGGACGGGUGAGUAAUGUCUGGGAAACUGCCUGAUGGUGGGGGAUAACUACUGGAAACGGUAGCUAAUACCGCAUAACGUCGCAAGACCAAAGAGGGGGACCCUCGGGCCUCUUGCCAUCGGAUGUGCCCAGGUGGGAUUAGCUUGUUGGUGGGGUAACGGCUCACCAAGGCGACGAUCCCUAGCUGGUCUGAGAGGAUGACCAGCCACACUGGAACUGAGACACGGUCCAGACUCCUACGGGAGGCAGCAGUGGGGAAUAUUGCACAAUGGGCGCAAGCCUGAUGCAGCCAUGCCGCGUGUAUGAAGAAGGCCUUCGGGUUGUAAAGUACUUUCAGCGGGGAGGAAGGGAGUAAAGUUAAUACCUUUGCUCAUUGACGUUACCCGCAGAAGAAGCACCGGCUAACUCCGUG
rnacentral:rRNA from 1 species